UGCGUAGGCGGCUAAAUAAGUCAGAAGUGAAAGCCCCCAGCUUAACUGGGGAAUUGCUUUUGAUACUGUAUAGCUUGAAUUGGGUUGAGGUUAGCGGAAUGUGGCAUGUAGCGGUGAAAUGCAUAGAUAUGCCAUAGAACACCAAUUGCGAAGGCAGCUAACUGGACCUUGAUUGACGCUGAGGCACGAAAGCGUGGGGAGCGAACAGGAUUAGAUACCCUGGUAGUCC
rnacentral:rRNA from 1 species